AGAAUCAACGCUGGCGGCGUGCCUAACACAUGCAAGUCGCACGAGAAAGGGUGGCAAUACCUGAGUAAAGUGGCGCACGGGUGAGUAACACGUGAAUUAUCUACCUCCGAGUGGGGAAUAACUGAGAGAAAUCUUAGCUAAUACCGCAUAACACUUACGAGUCAAAGCAGCAAUGCGCUUGGAGAGGAGUUCGCGGCCGAUUAGUUAGUUGGCGGGGUAAUGGCCCACCAAGACGAUGAUCGGUAUCCGGCCUGAGAGGGCGCACGGACACACUGGAACUGAAACACGGUCCAGACUCCUACGGGAGGCAGCAGUGGGGAAUUUUGCGCAAUGGGGGAAACCCUGACGCAGCAACGCCGCGUGGAGGAUGAAAUAUCUUGGUAUGUAAACUCCUUUCGAUGGGGAAGAUUAUGACGGUACCCAUAGAAGAAGCCCGGCUAACUUCGCGCCAGCAGCCGC
rnacentral:rRNA from 1 species